GCAGCUGAUCUGUGGUUUAGGUAGUUUCAUGUUGUUGGGAUGAGCUUUUAGCUCGGCAACAAGAAACUGCCUUAAUUACGUCAGCUCGUCUUCAUCAAGGGC
rnacentral:pre_miRNA from 12 species